rnacentral:miRNA from 1 species
UAUGUAUAUAUAUAUGUAUGUGUGUGUGUAUAUAUAUAUAUAUAUAUAUACACACACACACACACACACACACACACACACACACAUAUAU